AAUGCGCACUUUAAAUAGUUGAAAUUUUCAACUUUAAACAAUCUAUCGGCUCGGGUGACGACGCGGUUGGUGACAUUAUCAUCGCUGAGGGCGAAGGAGUGCAAACAAGUGAUGGCAGUGGAGAUGCAGCAACAAAUGUUGAAGACGCAGCCGUUUCCACCGAAAUUUCCAUCGGUUUUGAGUUCGUAGAACCUUUUUAAAAAUGUAUAUAUAUAUGUAAAUAUAAAUAAUAUAUUCAAUAAAAAA